rnacentral:rRNA from 1 species
CUUUUUUAUGGUGUGCGCGACUACCAUGCAGUCGAACGGUAACAGGAAGCAGCUUGCUGCUUCGCUGACGAGUGGCGGACGGGUGAGUAAUGUCUGGGGAUCUGCCCGAUGGAGGGGGAUAACCACUGGAAACGGUGGCUAAUACCGCAUAACGUCGCAAGACCAAAGUGGGGGACCUUCGGGCCUCACACCAUCGGAUGAACCCAGAUGGGAUUAGCUAGUAGGUGGGGUAACGGCUCACCUAGGCGACGAUCCCUAGCUGGUCUGAGAGGAUGACCAGCCACACUGGAACUGAGACACGGUCCAGACUCCUACGGGAGGCAGCAGUGGGGAAUAUUGCACAAUGGGCGCAAGCCUGAUGCAGCCAUGCCGCGUGUAUGAAGAAGGCCUUCGGGUUGUAAAGUACUUUCAGCGGGGAGGAAGGGAUGGAGCUUAAUACGCUUUGUCAUUGACGUUACCCGCAGAAGAAGCACCGGCUAACUCCGUGCCAGCAGCCGCGGUAAUACGGAGGGUGCAAGCGUUAAUCGGAAUUACUGGGCGUAAAGCGCACGCAGGCGGUCUGUCAAGUCGGAUGUGAAAUCCCCGGGCUCAACCCGGGAACUGCAUCCGAAACUGGCAGGCUUGAGUCUCGUAGAGGGGGGUAGAAUUCCAGGUGUAGCGGUGAAAUGCGUAGAGAUCUGGAGGAAUAUCGGUGGCGAAGGCGGCCCCCUGGACGAAGACUGACGCUCAGGUGCGAAAGCGUGGGAGCAAACAGGAUUUAGAUACCCUGGUAGUCCACGCCGUAAACGAUGUCGACUUGGAGGCUGUGAGCUUGACUCGUGGCUUCCGGAGCUAACGCGGUUAGGUCGACCGCCGUGGGGAAUACGGCCGCAAGGGUUAAAACUCAAAUGAAAUUGACGGGGGGCCCGCAC